GCUGGUUAUGAGAGCCAACAGAGUGAACUUGAAGAGAAAAAUAAACAUAUAACAACUGUUCAAAGCUUUGAGUGUUAUGGUUGCUAACUGAGAAAGGCUCUAAAUGAUACCUGCCAGGGUGGAGGAAUUUCACUCCCGGGGAUUAAUGGCUCAGGCUAACUCUGGGACUGUGUUCCUUCAGAGUCCCCCUUAAGGUUAUAAACGGUUCUAGUGUUGCAGUCAGUGAGAAACAGAUAAUGCAUCAGGGUAGCCCAGGGCAGCGAAAGCACCUUUAACUCUGAACCUCUUAGAUGGACUCUUCAUACGUGCACACACACACGUGCACUCUCAGACAUACAUACACACACACAUGCCAUCUUGUACACACUUGCACCCAGAUAUAGCCAUGUGCAAAAGCACACACCAGCCCAUGUAACACUCGUACUUUCACACACACACAUAUUCUCUCUCUUACAUACAACACAUUCCUACUCUCUCUCUCACCUGCACACACAUACUUCUGGCGAGACUGCAGCAGCUGUACUGACCUGCCCAGGUCUCUUUCAGGGCCCAGCCUCGGUCGGCGUUUUCUCAGGCCCAGGCUCAUUUUGGCCAUCAUGGUGUCUUCACCUUUCCCUCAGAGCCUGGUCACACUGUCACAAGGUCCUGCACUUCACGUGGCGAGAGUGUGAGCGGCCAGAGGCUACUGCAAAGGACAAGCUUCAGGAGGGCGUGGGCCUGGUCUCUGCUGCUCGCUGUUGGAUAGCCGUGUCUAGCACAGUGUCUGGCGCGUAGCAAUGCUUAGUAAAUGCUCAUUGAAUGACUGAAUCAGCUACAGUUCUUGCAGCAGAGCGAAAUUAAGUCAGCUCCAAAGAAAUGACAGGUACUUCCCAUUCCUCUGUGUGCUCGCAAAGCUCUAAAGCCCUGCAGUCCUGGCGGUGAGACAAGGACACUGAGGCACAGAGAAGUUCCAGGACUUACCUGAGAUGAUACCAUUGUAAACAUGUCAGAACAGCAGCUAUGUGGAACAAGUGAAGACUGGUUGCUGUCCAAUCUGCCAAUUUUCAGAUAAAAGAGCGGGAUCUGAUAAGUGACAGAUUACCAUGAGAACAUUUGCAGUGGGAUCUUUUCUGGUCUAUCAUUUCAGCAGCAAACGCUUAAUUUCAUCCUCUGAAGAAGUUGGACCAAACAGCUUCUUUCUGUCCCUGACUAUUUGCGACUUUCCAAGAUCCUGCCUGCAGUGCCGGCUCCCCAGCAGCAGGUGAUGUCAGGAGCUGGGUGGCUGAGAACAAGUCAGCUCCUUGGCACCGUCCCACAGUGUGCCUAAUCUUCCUGGGAAUUUCGCAGAACUUGGCUUUUCUUUUCAUCAACAGUAGUUAGGAAAUACUCCUCUCAGCCAGCGUAUGGUGUAUGGAAGAAACAGCCCCCUUUUUCUACUUUGGAUGAGUUUCGGGGUUGGGGUGGGGAGGGAAGGCAAAUGGGAAAAAGGAAUUUGGUGGGUGGCUUUGAAAGGUUGCUGAUUGAACCCCUUCUCUCAUCUCCUCACUGAUCUAACGUCCAGCUACUCUGGAAUGAUCUUGGGGGAAAAGGAAAACCUGAUUUGAUUACUUCAUGCCUAAGAGCACAGUGAUGAUAAGUAUUACAAUAAGAGCAAUAAUGCAUAAUUAAUAAUGCAUUACCAGUCUAAUAAAGUAAUGGCAAGUCAACUAAUCUCAUUGUGCCUUUAUUUCCUUGUUUAUAAAAGGCGUUCCGGCUACUCAGGAGGCUGAGGUGGGAGGAUCCUU